GAUGAUUUGGAUGUUUAUUUGAUAACAUUUAUUGAAAAGGGAAGAAAAAAAAUAAGAAAUUAAAAACAAUCCUCAGUUAGGAAAUAAAAUAUAAAAAAAAAAAAUUACAUGCAAAGUAAUUUACAUCUGCUAAAAAAAUACUUUUCCCGAGUAGCCUCUCAUUGAGGGUUAGGUGAUUGGAUUUUAUAGUGAGACAAUCUACACAUAAACAAUCAACAUACAGGAGAACUGUAAUAAAAUGUUUACCAACAGGAUUUGUAAUUCAUUCAGUUAGGUAUUAACUUUAUUAUAUUUCUCUAUUCAUUACAAAUACAUUUCCCUGAGGAAACAAUUCCACUGGAAGUUCUACAGAUUCAGUGGCUGAUAUGUUCUAAAUGCCUCUUAAUGGUUUGUUUUAGACACUUAAAAUGUAACCAGGUGAUUAGUAAUGUCAAUGGCUGGUAUAAUGUACCUUUAAAAGAGCAUAGAGUUCAGCAUACAAUUCAUUGCUUCGAUAUAGCAGAAUCUAGGUAAAACAUGAUUUUGUGGGGGAAAAAACGGGAAAACAUUUGCAGAUUUUCAGAUAAUCAUUACUGAUUCAAAGUUGAACCACUGUGAUAGCUGAGAUACUGAAUCCUUCAUCUAGUAGCCAGAAUAAAAAAAAAAACUUGAUAUUCACAGCAAAGCACAUUCUUCAGCCAGUAAUAUACAUCAUUUUAACAUAAAAGACAAACUGUUUUUUGUAUAAAACAAAGCAUUUUUUACAAAUUGUAGGUAACAGGUGAUAGUGAAAACAGAGAUUGUCUGGAUAUUUCUGCCCAGAAAGUGUGUCAAAUUGAGGUGACAAUAUAUUAUAUGGAAUCCCUUAUUUCAGUUGUUAGAUUUAGGUUUACGGUCUUCAGAGAGUACGGAGACAACAUUCCUCACAUGACUUUAUAUCAUAAGGCCAGGAGCUUUUCCUCAGUUACACCAUAUCAAAAAUAUUCCAGGCUUUAAAGGUAUAACUAACAGUGUAGUUUUUCCUGGUUAGAUCACAAGGUCAGGAUUCUGUUCAGGAAAACCUCCUGGCCCUAUGCAUGAACAUCAGUGGCUUAAAUAAAUCCCCAGUGGACUUAUGUCCAGUAAAGACACACAAAACAACCCCGUUAACAUUGACAAAACACCAGAACAAAAUCAAAUCCCUACAUCGCAAAAAAGUACACACCUGAUAGUGACAAAACAGUACCAAAAAGGAAAAAUAGAAAGCAACCCUACAGCCCUUAGAUAUAAAUGAAAAAUACAGACUUCAAGCAUCUCUAAUCAAUCAUUUUAGGCUAAAUAACACACACAAAUACUGAAAAUGUAUCUCAAACAAAUAUAGAGUCCACAGUUUUAUAUUACUAUUAACAUAAAAGUAUAUAAUAUUCCAGCAUUGGUUUUUUCACCAUACUGAAAACAACUUUUAACAAUAACAUGUUAUUUAUUCUUUGGGAAUCAUAAAAUACGGUUUGUUUUAUACAAUCAUUAAAAUUAACAUUUUAAUUUGAAUUUAUAUAACUAAAUACCAAUUUGAAAAUGUUCUCAACAAAACAAAUGAUCUGCAGUUUUUGGAAGAAACACACUGGCUAGUAAAAGUUAACUCACCCCUAGCAGUAAUAGCAUUAUGAUGCCUUACAUCUGAAGGUCACUCAUUUUAAUCUUCUUUCUACAGAUCUACACAAUCUACUUCAUAUUUUCUCUUGUGAAAGAAGCUUCUAGAUUAUCUCAAUAACAUAAAAACUAUUCUCUGUGCCAUUAAACCCCAGAGUAACCUCCUGGUAUAAGCAUCUUCAACAGUUAUUACAACUGUGAAUAGUUCUAAGUCAUAUCUUUGCCAUGUUACCAUGAUGCAAACUAAGCUUUUUUUUCUUCACAGAACAAUUACACAUAUUGUAAUGCAAAAGAGAAAUCAUUACAGUAUUUCAAAAGGAACUGAAUGUUGAGCGGACAAGCCUCAGUCCUGACUACGCUUGAGCAACUUCUUAUCCAGAAAAUAUUUAUCUGUUGGCGUCAGAGUUUUAGAAAUCUUAGACAUAUUUACAACUGUAAUAGCUAUAUAAACAACUGUAAUGGCUAUAUUAACAAGCUUCUACCAAGCAUUAACCCUGGGGUGUGAAGACAUACCCAACCCCCCCAUCCAUAUUAUGUAUUUUUUAUUCCUUUUAAUUGUUUAAAUUAAAAGGUCAUAAAAUAUAAUUUUCAUUUUCACAAUGUACGGAGUAGGUUGUGUAAAUCAGUGGAAAAUAAAUCUAAUGUAAUUAAUUAUUAGGUCAGCAACAUGAAGAAUUUAAAAGGGGUUUGUAGACCUUUACUAGCUACUGUACCCUUAGUAAAAACAUAACUGUAAUGGAUACAAUGUGGUCUGUUUGUAGAACGAUGCCUUAGUAUUAACCAUUUACUCUUGAACCUGGUCAAAGUCAACAAACAAUACUGCUGGAUGUUUAUGACAAAUACUUUAUACUGUGCCUUUCUCAUAUUGCCAAUAUUCCGGCAAUCAUGAACAAAAUAAAGAUCUGCAAGGUUUGAAAUUGGACUUCUGUAACAAACUAUUUCAUCAUUACUGAAACUGAAGUGAAUCAGAAAAAAUAAAACACAUUUAUAUGGAAAUCAGCGUGUUUGAAUUGACAUAAUACUGUCUUAAUAAAUUUCUUUAACGCUUGCGUAUAUUUCUAAAAGCCUUGCGUAUAUGCGGAUCAUGUUUAGUCUCUUUGCAGUCUGUGUCAUAAUCAUCCAACAGAAUACAGAUUACAUCAUGAUUAUAGCACGACAGCAUAACAUAAUCAAAUAUGAUUGCCUGGUAUGGCAGUACUGCAAGACAAAAACACCACAGCAUUUAAUCACUGCACAAACUAUAAUUUCUCCCAGUUUCCACUGGUGAAACAUGCAUGCAGCAAACAUCCGUGCAGGAUUAUUCUGCGGACCCUCAAUACGUUUCGAUACACGGAGAUAUGCAUUUCCAUCUUCUUGAGUAAGAUGAUGUUUAAAAGUAGCCUACAGUGUUGCAGACGAUGUUAACUACCUUCUGCAUAGACCGCGUUCAGUAUAUGGCCUAGUGGCGUGGCCUGAAGGACAUGAUACCUAUAUGGGGCAAAUCAGAUCCACAGCGAAUCCUUAAGUCAUGAUUUCAUUAAAAGAUUUAAACAAGCAUUUUAGCGCUACUUCUCAGUACUGUUUCCUAUCAUUCUGACACACGCAGAUUUUGGAAGUAAUCAGAUGAACACACACACAAGGAUAUAGAAACGACGUGAUGAAUCUGGGGCUAUGACAAAACUGGGUAAUGUAGUACACAAAUCUGACCUGCAGAAAACAUGGCAUCUACAAUACUGUCAACGCAUAAUUAGGGUGGACAGCAACAAAAUGUUAUUUAUUGACAUAUUGAGAACCAAUUCAGCUGUUCAUGGUGAUGGUGGGCGGAGAUGUACAGUCGUUGCAAACACUAUUGGCAUCCUUGCACUUAAUUGAAAAAAUAUGCACACUUUGUUCUAGUAAACUCUAGAAAAAGAAAUAAAAAUUGUCCGUGUAGUUCUUUGGUUUGCAGGAAAAAAACAGGAAUGUUUUACUAAAUCUCAGAGUAAACCAAAAAGAAAUCCUAAAAUCA
ensembl:lncRNA